CGUAGAUAAGCCCGUUGAAGAUUUGCACCUUUCAAAUUGGCAUUAUUCAGCUUUGCACCCUUUAGAUUGGCCCCUUCUAGAUUAGCUCCUUCCAGGUUGGCAUUGGUAAGAUCAGCAGUCUGUAAAUGUGCAGAGCGCAGAUCUGCUCCACAGAAGCUGCAAUCCACCAGACAAGCAUCUUGUAGAUUUGCACUCUGAAGAUUGGCACCAGCUAAUAAAGCUCCACGAAGAUU
rnacentral:misc_RNA from 1 species